AAUAUUGGACAAUGGGUGAGAGCCUGAUCCAGCCAUCCCGCGUGCAGGAAGAAUGCCUUAUGGGUUGUAAACUGCUUUUAUACAGGAAUAAACCACUUUACGUGUAAGGUGUUGAAGGUACUGUAUGAAUAAGCAUAGGAUAACUCCGUGCCAGCAGCCGCGGUACUACGGAGGAUGCAAGCGUUAUCCGGAUUUAUUGGGUUUAAAGGGUCCCUAGGCGGGCAUAUAAGUCAGAUGUGAAAUCCGACAGCUUAACUGUCGAACUGACUUUGGAACUGUAUGUAUUGACUGAGAUUGAAUCAGCUAGAUUGUGUAGUAUACCGGUGAAAUGCAUAGAAAUUACACAGACCUCCGAUAGCAUAGCCAGGUUGCUAAGACUUUCCUGACGCUGAUGGACGAAAGCGUGGGCAGCAAACA
rnacentral:rRNA from 1 species